CCGGAAUCCAAACGGACCUUUGGUCGGUUAUCUGACGCUGGACGUCCUCACGUACCUGAAUAAUGCUUUCCUAUGGGGAGGUCUCCCCUUCUGGCUGAUGUCGGCGGGGGAGGAGCAUCGGCGGAGCCUGACCCAGCACCGAGCAACAUUGGCGCUGGAUUCAGGUAAGGGGAUGGGGGGACCUAUUAAACCUAUAGUGCCAGGAAAACGGGUUUGUUU